UUAAUUAUUGGUUAUAUUUGAAAUGACAAGUUCACAUUGCUUCCUUCUCCAACCCACGUGUAUCACUUAGGAAAUGUCACAAAUUGUCUUGUUUUCAAUUACCCACCUCCUUAGAUGGAAAUUUGACUCUUUCACUCUUAUUCUCUCUCCUAUCUCACGCAUAUUCCUAUCUCUCUCAUCCUCUCCUUUUCAUCCCAGUUGUCUCUCUCUUCCCCGAGUUCUUGCUCCCCGCCGGCACGACCGCUGCCUCGUCGACCGGCGAUCCUUGGUGAUCUUCCUUCGCCGGUAAAGUUGGUAGGGUUGUUAUUGUUCGUUGUUGUUGAUUGCAUGCUAACUUUGUCCUUCCCCUCUCUCUCGACCUCCGCCGUUACACCACCAUCAAUGGUGGCUUUUGCAGCCGGUGAUGAUCAACCAAUCUAUUCGGUAAUUUCUUUGAUUUCUUUAUGUUACUCAAUUGAAUUAAAUUAGAAAACCCCAAAUUAAUCAAAAACCCUAACUCAUUUGAUUUCUCUCCUCUUAUCAUGGUGAUGUUGUGGGUUUUCUUCCCUCCUCCACCUUCUCUUUUCCUCUGCCGACCACGCCGGAGCCAAGGGCUACCGGAGCCGCUGUCGCAGCUGCUAUUGUGUCGCUGCCGCUGCUGCUGUUCGAGCUGUUGUUGCGGCUAUUGUUGUUUUUUGUUGUUGUUGAUUUGAUUUCCCUAUAUGCUUUAUAUUUCCCUUAAGGGUAUGAUCUCAAAAUAUUUGAUUUCAACUAUUCAAUUCUAGUUUACCCAAUUCAAUUGAAGUAGUUUGUUGAAUUAAAUUGUGCCUUGGUGUGUUAGUAGCUGACUAUGUAGGAAGUAAUCCUAAUUAUCCAGAAAUUAAUCUCAACUUUUGAAAACAAGGAAUUUGAAAGUAUUAGUUUGUUUCGAGAAAGUUUUUGAAUAGUUGUGAAAUUAAGAUUUUCAAUUUUAUAAUUUGAUUGAUUAAUAUUCAUUAAGUAUAUAAAUAUAAUUAUUGAAUUUCAUGUUUUCAAUCACGAAAUAUGAUUAGAAAAUCCAAUAUGGUUUUCUUAAAAUAAAAUAUGUGCUAUGUUGAUUCUAAAUUAAGUUCUUCGAAAAUCAAUUAGUUCUAGUUAUGUUUGAGUGAUUAGUUUAUUAACUUAAGUCGUUCUUGUUGAGGUGAAUUGGCGGAGAAUGAUGACCGAAUGAGACUUGGGAUCUAAGUGUAGUGAUGCGAGAGUUAAAAUGUUUUGCAGGGAGCAAGAGUCGGGUCUCAAUUCAGGUUCAAGGUUCAGGUUCUCGUAGAAAUCUCCAGAGGCCUUAAAUUUCCAAGAAUAUUUUGAUGGCCGUCGUUGAGGUGGAGGAGGUGUCGCCGGCGUCGGCGUUGAGGGAGAAGGCGGUGUUGAGGGUUUUAAUCAUUGAGAAGAUGAUUUGGAUUCAUGCGGGUUUAGGGUAUAUCAUCAUCUUGUAAAUCGAACAAUUCGUGCGCAUAUUGUGAAGGACUCUACUUGGAAAGAUGCGAAAACAUCGAAAGUCACUGCUCACGUCAAGUUAGAAGUAGUGGAUAAAGAUUUGUGCUUUAGGAUGCAGAAUAGUAAUUGUUGUGAUUGUAACAAUUAUUUAUUUUCUCUAUAUCUAGUGUAUGUAGAUAUAUUUUAUUAGUUUAGAUGUUGUAUGGCCGAUUCUUAAUGAUAUUGUUCUUCCCCGUCAAAAAAGAACAAAUAAAAUACGAAAAAUUUACCUACGGAGUAUUA